rnacentral:misc_RNA from 1 species
UAGGGGACUUGGUAUUGAGUGAUACUCUGUGUUAACUUGAAAUACUCUAGGCAGAGCUCCCCCUAGAAAUCCUCUGGGCCGAAAUAAUGUAUUAGGUUCUACCAACUCGUUAUUUUCCAGACAGACUUCCAGGCAGAGCUCGGCUGAACAACCUUUCUAAGCUUGACCUCAAAUCAGGUAGGACUACCCGCUGAACUUAA